UAAAAAUCACAAGUUCUUCCAUAAAAUUCUGAGUUUUCCAAAAUAAGACACUGGAUUCUUAAGCAUAUGCAACAAAUAAUCCAAAAACAGCCAUUCAAUGUUUGUGUGUGUCUCCAAAAUUUGAUUUAAAGAUGCAGAUGAUUCAAAUAGCCAUGGCUUCUGCGUGUCUUCGUCGGUGUGAAGAAGAUUGCAACAAUGGUCACCCUCACCCACUUUUAUGCAAGUUCUUUUGCCCUCCAUAUUGUGCAACUCACCUUGAACGCCCAGAUCCAGAGGGAACCAUAGUUUCUCAAUCAUCUUUUGAUAAAUCUACAAUAGACAAAACAGAUAAAAUGGCAUCAACCUUCCCUCCUAAACCAGACAAAGGAGAUCAAACAGCAUAAAUCUCACCCUAGGAAGCAACUCUUGUUCCUCUCUUUAUAUUUUCUUAACUGCAGAGAAGAAAUAGCACUGAUGCUGUGGUUCCAAAUUGCAAUGGCGAGGAAUUGGAGUUGAGUCUUGGGUCUUGGCAUCUCAUGGCUUGGUGUACUAAUGGCGAAAGAAGGUUGGUGAAUGACAAGUAGUUUUGUGGUUCAUCAUGCUUUUUGUCAGCAAACAAAACAAACGAAAGUGUAAUUUUUACUAAACAUCAAUAAUAUAAUAUGUUAUGAGAACAAUUGAUCGAGCUUGACUUUGUUUCACGG